CUUAGGACGUCGCCGCCAGCGGACGAGAGCCUUGUCCGCCAUUUUAGGUCCGGUUCCCUCCGCCUCCUUCCUUCCUUCUGCUCUGAGGCGACGCCAGACGCGGCCGAGGAACCGGAGCCAUGUCGGCCAACAGGAACCUGAAGCAAGUGCGGAUCGAGAACAGCUCCCCGGCCUCUGCGCCGCCGAUGAGCAUGGUGGGCGGCGGGAGCAUGAAGGCGCUGCGGGGGCUGGAGCCACCGCCAUUGCCGCCUCCGUCGUCGUCGUCCUCGUCGGCGGCGGCGGGGGAGAACGAAGGCGCGGCGGCCUCGCUGGCGCUGGGGAAGGAGGAGGAGGAGCAGGGCGCCGGGGGCGGAGGGUUCACGGUGGACAUCAAGAGCUUCCUGAAGCCCGGCGAGAAGAGCUACACGCAGCGCUGCCGCCUCUUCGUGGGCAACCUCCCCACCGACAUCACCGAGGAGGACUUCAAGCGCCUCUUCGAGCGCUACGGGGAGCCCAGCGAGGUCUUCAUCAACAGGGACAGGGGCUUCGGCUUCAUCCGGCUGGAAUCUAGGACUCUGGCUGAAAUAGCGAAGGCAGAACUUGAUGGAACUAUUUUGAAGAGCAGACCACUUCGAAUUCGAUUUGCUACCCAUGGAGCUGCUUUAACAGUAAAAAAUCUUUCACCGGUUGUUUCCAAUGAGCUUCUGGAACAAGCUUUCUCUCAAUUUGGCCCUGUGGAAAGAGCGGUGGUUGUUGUGGAUGAUCGUGGUAGGGCAACAGGGAAAGGCUUCGUAGAAUUUGCUGCAAAACCUCCAGCACGUAAAGCUCUGGAAAGAUGCAGUGAUGGAGCAUUCUUGCUAACAACGACUCCUCGACCUGUUAUUGUAGAACCUAUGGAGCAAUUUGAUGAUGAAGAUGGACUGCCUGAGAAAUUAAUGCAAAAAACACAACAGUAUCAUAAAGAGAGAGAACAACCUCCGCGUUUUGCCCAACCUGGAACAUUUGAAUUUGAGUAUGCUUCACGAUGGAAGGCUCUUGAUGAAAUGGAAAAGCAACAGCGAGAACAAGUUGAUAGAAACAUUAGAGAGGCUAAGGAGAAACUAGAGGCUGAAAUGGAAGCAGCUCGACAUGAGCAUCAAUUAAUGCUGAUGAGACAAGACCUUAUGAGGCGUCAGGAAGAACUGAGACGUUUAGAAGAACUUAGAAAUCAAGAACUACAGAAACGGAAGCAAAUACAACUGAGACAUGAAGAAGAACACAGGCGACGUGAAGAAGAAAUGUUGCGCCAGAGAGAACAAGAGGAAUUGAGGAGACAGCAGGAAGGAGGAUUUAAACCAAACUUCAUGGACAACCAAGACUUUGACUUAAUCAUAUACGACAUCCGCCUAAAUACACUUGGAAAACAUGGACUGAAAAGGAUAUAUGGGGAUACAGUUGCUUGAAAUACUACACAUGAAAGGAAAUACUUUUCAAGUGCUGAAGUGCAUCUGACGUUGAAAAACCACACUUGCUCUGUCAGAGAAACAAAGCAGGAAAGGAGGCUGAAUCCAUUCUUCAAUUUCAGUGAAUGUGUGCUGGAUGAUAGUCACCAUUAUUGUACCCUGCAGAAUUACAGACAAGUAGUUGAUGUGCUAAGGCAAUCUUAACAUGAAAGGACAAAGCCUCUGCUGUCAAACAUGAAGCUGAACAUACCCAGCUCUCUAAGCUGCUCCUCAUAGGGCAUGUCUUCCAGGCCUUUCGCCAUUUUGGUCACCCUCCUCUGGAUACGCUCCAGCUUGUUAACAUCCCUCUUGAAUUGAGGUGCCCUGAACUGGACACAGUAUUCCAGGUGAGCCCAGACCAAAGCACAAUGCAGUGGUACUGGUCUAGACACUAUACUUCUGUUGAUGCAACCAAGAUUUGCUUUGCUUUCUUGGCUGCUAUAUCAACUUACUGACUUAGGUUCAGCUUGUGGUCUGCUAGGGCUCCUACAUCCCUCAGUAUACCAUCAAUAUCUGCAUGUAGAUCUAUUCUACACUGAACCAUAUAUUUCCCCCCUGAUUUAAUGCAAAGUCUCUGAAGCUGUCCUGCAUGAUUGUUCUGUGCUUUGUGGUGCGCAGGCAGGCUUGGAGAAGCAUAUGGAUUCCAACAGCACAAAGACCCCUGGAGGACCCUGGCAGAUCCCAGCGCUGAUGAAGCCAACUGCUUCUAGCUUACCUGCUUGCUGUGAGGCAUAGGAUGGCUGUGUGUGGGAGCUUCAAGGGCUUUUCAUAACGACAGGGUAGUGGGUUUCGAUGCUACAGAGGGAGGAAGAGAAUAGCAACCCCUGCAGCACCCAGAGAAGGACAUCCACAAACAUAAAGGCAACUUAAGCAUGCAGAUAUUCCUGUCGUUUUCUCCCACUGAUGAGACCCUUUAAGAAAGUCUGGAGCCAUUUAACCCUUUAAAUCUCAUCACCAGCAGUGGUGUCACUAGGGAUGUGUGGAUUGCACCAUGUAUAUGUCAGUACCUUUAGGCUGUGCAUAUGAUACAAGGCAGUGAUUGUGAACCAUUUUAGGUUCACAUGCUGAAGGCGGGGCUUCUCCCCCCACCCUUUCCCUGGCUCCCAGCUGUCUCUGAGAGAUAGUUGUGGGUCAGCAAAGGCUCAUGGUGGGAGCAGAGCGAUCGGCAGGGGCCCAGUCCUCCCCUUCCUGGGCCUUUCCUGACCCCAAACGGGCCCUCUGGAGGUCAGGAAAGGUAAAUGGGAAAGAGGAGGACUGGGCAUGCACCCGUUCCUCCUCCCUGUGGGCCUUUUUCUGCCCCCGCUGUCUCUCUGGAGAUAGCUGGAGGCCAGCAAAGGUCUCUGGGGAGGAGCCACUGGCAUGUGCUGGUUGCUCCUCCUCUCCCGCCUCUAGCUCUCUUGAAAAGGCAGCUAAAGGCUGGGAGAGGGCUAGGAGGAGGAGCCCCAGAGGCACGUGUUUCUGGCUCCUUCUCUCCAGUGCCAUUUUCUGGCUUCCAACUGUCUUGGAGACAGCUGGAGGCCAAGACAAGGCAGGGAGGAGGAGGAAUGGGUACGUGUGUGCCUGUUCUUCCUUCUCCUGGCCUGGGCCUGGUGGAAUGGCAUUGUGUGUCACCAUAGGUUCACCAUCACAGGUAUAAGGUAACAUUUUAAUUGUACUAGUUGUUUAUAUCACAACUGACCGUUAAAAUUCAGUCAUAUAUGGGAAUUACGAUUUAUGAGUAACAUUAAUACAAAAAAACAUGAUCAAGGAAUCUGUAUGGGGUGGGAUAUGAAUUACUUCACUAGGUGAUGCCAGCCCUAGUUGAUCACCAAUACCAGUCAUUUAUGUUUAGCAUUAAUGCCUGCUCUUCAGACCACAAACAUGUUGGCAUGCAUGCAGUUCAUAAAAGUCAAAGCUGCGAAUGUCCAGGACCAACUGUAUGUUAAUUUCUUUUUCAAAGGCCUGAAUGUUGAAUCAUUUCAGCUAAAGCAGAUCUACAGCAUCAGCUGUUCAAUGAUGAAUCAACACACAGGUGAAUCCUAUUGAUUCGAUGGGUCUUUUGUAGUUGUGGCUAACAAUAGGAUUCAGUGUUUUUUUUAUAAAAAGUUGGAAUCCAAACAAAGAUGUGUUAAAAUAAUGCCUUCAUCUGAAUAAAUUUAGAGAGAGUUAAAUGGGUAUAGCAUAUCAUUUUUAUGCUUCUCAUUGUUUUGAAAAGUUGGUAUAGAGCUGUAAAUUCAGUGUUUUCUCUGAAGAAUUCUUCAUGGAGUUUACAGCCAUAAGCCUGUUGAUGUUGUACUGUCCUCGGAUCUGAAGAAGAAAACAAGUAUCCUGUGGUAAUAUUGACAUGCUUUUAUUAGUUCGCUAGACUAAAUCUGUGCCCAAAGUAUAAGUACAGUAAGCUUCAUUGGUUUAUGCUUCUCCCUUUCUCUUUUUUCCUCCAGUUGUUUUGGAUGGCAAGCUGUUUGCGAUCAAGGAACGAUCUUUUUGUUUUUGUUUCUUCAGUAUGAAUCUAAAGUGCUAUGUACUUUUGAGCAGUAUUUAUUAAUAAAUAUUUAAAAUCA